UACGUAGGGUGCGAGCGUUAAUCGGAAUUACUGGGCGUAAAGCGUGCGCAGGCGGUUCGUUGUGUCGGCGGUGAAAGCCCCGGGCUUAACCUGGGAAUGGCCGUUGAAACUGGCGAACUGGAGUGUGGCAGAGGGGGGUGGAAUUCCGCGUGUAGCAGUGAAAUGCGUAGAGAUGCGGAGGAACACCGAUGGCGAAGGCAGCCCCCUGGGCUAACACGUGACGCUCGAGGCACGAAAGCGUGGGAGCAAACAGG
rnacentral:rRNA from 1 species